rnacentral:lncRNA from 1 species
UUCUGCUGCCGGUUGUGCAGGGAUGGCGCAGCACUGAGGUGCAGUGUGCCUGUUGGGCGCCAGCAAAGGGUUCUCACAAAACACUGGUUCUGCCCUAAGAUUUCCUAUUAAUGACCCUGAGAAAUGUCAUAGAAUCGUUUGAGUUGGAAGGGACCCAUACAGGCCAUCUGGUCCAACUCCCCUGCAAUGAACGGGGACACCUAUAGCUCCGUCAGGUGCUCAGAGCCCACACAGCCUGACCUUGAGUGUCUCAUGUCACAGAGCAUCCACCGACUCUCUGGGCAGCCUGUGCCAGAGCCUCAUUGCCUUUAGUGUAAAAAACUUCCUUACAUCUGCCCUCUAUCUGCCCUCUUUUCGUUUCAAACCAUUUCCCUUUGUCCUAUCCCACAGACCCCACUAAAGAGUGUUCCCUUCUUUCUUACAGCCCCCUCAGAUACUGACAGGCCGCUCUCAGGUCUUCCUGCAGCCUUCCCUCCUCCAGGCUGAACAGCCCCAGCUCUCAGCCUGUCCUUGUAGGGGAGGCAUUCCAUUCUUUGAGUCAUUUUUUUCUGGCCCUUCUCUGGACACACUCCAACAGCUCCAUGUCUUUCCAUGAGGACUCCACAUCUGGACAGUACUCCAGGAGCCGUAUUAGCUCAGAAUGCUGUGCGCUGUCGUUCUGGAUCAGUUGGGUCAUGCAGCUUGUAAGCCCGGGUGAAAGAACUCCAACACGAAGGAGGAGAUUCAAGUCUUCACCGCAGCCCUUCCUUGGGCCCUGGUGCUGCAAUGGAUGGAGGCAGAAGGCAGCUCUCACACAGCAACGUGCUUUGAGUGAUAACAACAGAAUAGGAGCCCGACUGCCACGUUACGAAAUCUUGUUCACAAAUGGUUUAAAUGCGUUGGUGGACAUUUUGCACGAGGCUCCACUCUGGCCGCAAGACCUGAGCGACUGCGACCAACAUCACUUCCAGAAAGCACCUCUGUGUAGCACCCAACCGUGCUGGCUGCUUGCAGAGAGAAGAGGAGCACACUGCGGGCAGGCCCUGGGAAGCAGGCAGUGGCCGGGGGUGCAGGAAGGAGGGAGGGCUGUGCGGGAGCACCAAGCUGUGUGCUUUUGUUCACGAGUGCCAAGGAGUGCCGGAGCUCCCGCCGCCCCGCUUGCCUGCAGAGGGCUGCCGAGCACAACCGGGCCUCUCCUGAAACACUUCCCAAGCGCUGGGGCCUUCUGUGUGAGCGUAACCCAGAUGCAGCAAAUGAAGGCCGCAGCCCGGUGAAGGCGCUGGCAGGCAGCCCGGCCCUGGGCCGCUGACACGGCCUGCUGCCACAGCAUGAGACAAAGCGGAGCUGAGCCACGAGGCCUCACUGCGAGGCUCCAUGAGCUCGGCCCAAGCAGGCCUGCUGUGCUCCUUCACUCUGUUUUCACUUACUCCGUCUUUAAGUACCCUCCUGGAGGUUAAGUUUGCUGUGAGGAGCGAGAAGGCGUAGCUGGCACGAUGCCUCCUGGGCUCCAAACGUGAGGACCACGUUCAGUGCAAAUAUUUUCUCACCAAACCACUCGCUCCUGUCGCUGGGCUUGGCAAAACGUGGCAGCCAUCCUGCUGCUCUGCACCCCACCCCUGCUGCCCUUCCUGGGCUCAUCCUGGGCAGCGAGGAGGAGUCCCUGCUCGCUUACCGCUGCGGCACAGCAGCACUGGGAACAGGGCAGGAGAGGACGGACUGUGAGGAACUUCCCAAACUAUUGGAGCUUUGUCCUCCAAGAAAUGCAUCUGAGACUUUAAAAUCUCAUAAGAGAAACUGGUAAGUUUUUAUUGACCUCUGUAGGUUGGUCAGCGUUCAGGUUUCACGUACCCUGCCAGCCUGUGGUGACCCACGCUGAAGACAGAGCACUGCUGUCAGAACGAUGCUGAUGUCCAAUAAAGUUGCUUCCUCAUGUCAAGGUUCUGUGUGUGUGAGACUGUUUGCUGAAAUGAAGCAAAAGAAGAGUGUUUAAGCGGGAAAGCGCAGGUAUGGAGUGAUAAAUGCGAUCUGUGUUAGCUGUUCCAAAGUCCAUUCUUUAACUAAACCUUUCAGCUAAUUUGCUAUAUGAAAGGCCCUUUUAUCCCAGCCCCCUUUUGCAGUUUCAAUUGUUCAGUUCCUUGCCUUGGUUCAGAAACCAAGACAGCACAGUACGGUGUUCUGCGAGAUCUGACCGAUCAGUGUCAUAGGAUCUGGUGUCAGAUGGGGAACUCUGGAAGAGGCAUGCAGUCCCCACAAGCUCCCCUCCUGCUGAAGCCCAGUGAUCCCUGUUGUUUCAAGGUUGGUUUCAUGGACGGCUUCUUUGUAAACAUUUUUUUAAAGAGCAGAUAUGGUCAAAGGGAAAAAAAAAGAUAACUUGGUUUACCUUUACUAGUCCGGAAAUAACUCUGGGGACAAUGUGUAUAGCCACAUAGCACCGUAAGUAGAAAUAAGCUUAUGCACCACUUGCUGUAGAGGAAAUAUAUAGGAAGAAUGCUUCAAAGUGAUAAGAAGAACAUCUGGAAAGCUCAAGAAGUGGUAGCAAAGACAACCACUGCAAGAGCACGUGAUUGAAAAUCAGCGAACACGUUUAAACCUCUCCUGCAAAGGUUCCAACAGGUGUGGCAGUGAGGAGAGGACUACAAAGGUGCUCACAGCUCAUGCAGUGGUUGUCUGGGCCUCGUCUCCUCAUCCUGCAUUAUCAGAGACUCAUAGGAUCGUUACGGUUGGAAAAGACCUCUACAAUCAUCCAGUCCAACCAUCCAUCUACCACCAGUACUGCCCACUAACCACAUUCCUCAGCGCCGUGUCUCCAUGUUUCUUGAGCACCUGCAGGUGACGCAGCCCAUUCAGCACAAGCCACUCUUGCAGUGUUUUUCCUAACAUCCAACCUGAACCUCCCUCGGUGCAAUGUGAGCCCACGUAACACCCUAGGCUUGCUCUUCUGCUUUUCUGGUGGAAACACUGAGUAAUUAAAAUCUCAGUAGUUGAAUUCAGGCUGAAAUGGGGUCUAGGUUUUUCACAGGUAUAUACUUUUGCCACUCAGCACUGAGGAAAACAGACAUUUUGUGCGCCUCAAGAUGUCAUUCAAAACAACUGAGUCAUGAUGUAGGCCUAUAAUCUCAGUCCUGUGUUACCACACCUUGAGCUAUGCCAGAAAUUCAGUUUCACUCGUAAACAUUCAUGGUGGGCCCAGGAAUGCCAUUCCCAGCACUAGUUCACAUGUAGUUCAUCAUGAGCGCUGCCUGAAAGUCACUUCUGUGGCACAUCAAUCCAGGGGGCAAGGCGAGCAGUUUUGACAGUCUCUCUUCAGUCGACCUAGGCAGGUUCUGCCUGUAUCAAUAGUGGCUUUCUCUCUCACAGAGCCCAAGGAACCAUGCAGCCAAACUUUGGGAAGCCCCGUCUUAUUUUUCUGGCACUGCUUUAUCUGUUUUUUUCCACCUCCCCCCAUCUCUGCUCUGUCUCUCGACAUUGCGAAACCUGAAGUUAUUUGGGCCCUUGAAUUUCCUUUGUCCGCUACAGGGUGAUUUCUGAUUUGGCAGACUGCUGAAAAAACACCAAGAAAUGCCCGUUUUUCUCUUUUUGCUUUAAGACAGAUAGAUUUUAUCCUCCCUCUGAAAAUGAGAGGGAUUCAAGACACCAAACCUGUCGGAACUGGCACUUGCACAUCAGCUGGGACACCUUGUGAUUACUUUACGUGACGUUCUCGUACUUGCAAGGGACAUGUGUCAGCGGCUGUUGAAGAUGCUCAGAUGUGUCCCAGCAGAAUGCCCUGAAGCAUGCCUUCCAAAACCACCCAGAGGGCUCUUUGGACUCUGUGCAAUGGGAGGGGGAGAAGUUCUGUGUUCUCAAUCUCAGCUCAAACUCAAGGGUUCCUCUUCUGCCUUCGCCACUGCCGCUCACCCAUCUAAGAGGAGGAAGUACCGCGGUGUUGGGCAUUUGCAGCCCACAGCAGUAGUGGUGCAGGUGGCUCUCGGCACGUACCCCGCAGCCCGUGGCUCUGGGUCGGUGCUCGGUAGGCGCAGGGUUUUUACCUGCAGCUCCGGGGUAGCAGCCCAGCGUGCGACAGCGAUGGGGCUGGCACGGAUGGAGGUGGUGGGGUGCCUUCCAAACCUAUCACAUAAUUCCAACAAACAAAAUGCCUUAUUUUUUCUUCUUCUUUUUUUUAAUAGUAACCAACACACGGCUG